GACGAACGCUGGCGGCGUGCUUCAUACAUGCAAGUCGAACGAGAAGCUGACUUCGGUCAGUGGAAAGUGGCGGACGGGUGAGUAAUAUGUAGGAAAUCUGCCUUUAGGAGGGGGACAACAGAGGGAAACUUCUGCUAAUACCCCAUAUGAGCGUAGCUGAAAUGCUAUUCUUGAAAACUCCGGUGCCUAAAGAUGAGCCUGCAUCUGAUUAGCUAGUUGGUAGUGUAAUGGACUACCAAGGCGACGAUCAGUAGCUGGUUUGAGAGGAUGAUCAGCCACAAUGGGACUGAGACACGGCCCAUACUCCUACGGGAGGCAGCAGUAGGGAAUUUUGCGCAAGGGGCGAAAGCCGGACGCAGCAACGCCGCGUGAACGAUUAAGCCCUUCGGGGUGUAAAGUUCUGUCAGUGGGGACGAAACUUGACGGUACCCACAGAGGAAGCACCGGCUAACUCCGUG
rnacentral:rRNA from 1 species